AUGCAUUGGUUUGCUUGGUGGAAGAUAUGUAUUCCGAAAGAGAGAGGAGGCAUAGGAUUCCGUGAUAUCCGUAGUUUUAACUUUGCAAUGCUAGCCAAGCAGUGUUGGAGACCUAUUGAUAACUAUGGUUCUUUGUGUGCACGAGUGUUAAGAGCAAGGUAUUACCCUACAAAAGACAUAUUAAACUGUCAACUAAAGAAGGCGUCAUCUUAUGUAUGGCAAAGUAUUUGGGCUGGCAUCCAAACAUUCAAGAAGUGAUGUAUUUGGCGAAUUGGAAAUGGAGAAAAGAUUAAUAUUUGGACAGACUGCUAGAUUCUGAACAGUGCUUCAAAGAAAAUCAUUACAAUUUGUGGAACCAUACUCACGAAAGUUGGAGAGCUAAUUGAUCAAAUAAUGGGAGAGUGGGAUGAAAUUCUAGUCCGGGAAAAUUCCUGGCCAAUUGAUAUGGAUCGCAUACUGCAGAUUAUGUUAUUUCAUGAGGAGAUAGAGGACUAUGUCGCAUGGCAUAUCACGAAGAAUGGAGUUUUUUCGAUACAUUCGGCUUAUUACAAGAAAUGGGAAGAAAACUAUGAUCCAGAGGGGAGUGGGUUGGCUCGCUACUCCACGACGCCCCAUCCAAUUUGGAAGAAUUUAUGAAAUAUGAAAGUACCAGCCAAAGUGAAAAUCUUCAUAUAGAGGUGUCUACACAAUGCCAUCCCGUGCUACAUUGUUCUUAUGAAUCACCACAUUGGACGGGUUUCUCAGUGCCAUUUCUGUCAAGCCGGGGUAGAAGACAUUUUUCAUAUGUUGUUCAAUUGUACUAGAUCAGAAGAAGUUUGGGAUGCUCUCGGGAUCGCACCAGAUAUUAAUUUCGCUAGUAUGACCGAUCAGUCGAGAGCAGCGGUCAUGCAGUUUAUCCUAUGCGACGUAUCCUAUUGA
rnacentral:rRNA from 1 species